rfam:Schistosoma rodhaini strain Burundi genome assembly, scaffold: SROB_scaffold0013637
AUUCAGUUAACGAGUCCCAAAUAGGACAAAACGUGCGUCGUGGAU